rnacentral:rRNA from 1 species
GACGAACGCUGGCGGCGUGCCUAACACAUGCAAGUCGAACGGGGAGUUACUUGUAACUCCUAGUGGCGAACGGGUGAGUAACGCGUAGACAACCUGCCUCUAAAUUGGGGACAACACCGCGAAAGUGGUGCUAAUACCGAAUGUGGUAACUUGAUCGCAUGAUCGAGUUAAGAAAGAUGGCCUCUAUUUAUAAGCUAUCGAUUAGAGAUGGGUCUGCGUCUGAUUAGCUAGUUGGUGAGGUAAUGGCUCACCAAGGCGACGAUCAGUAGCCGGUCUGAGAGGAUGAACGGCCACACUGGGACUGAGGCACGGCCCAGACUCCUACGGGAGGCAGCAGUGGGGAAUCUUCCGCAAUGGACGAAAGUCUGACGGAGCAACGCCGCGUGAGUGAAGAAGGUCUUCGGAUUGUAAAGCUCUGUCGUUUGGGACGAACGUGCUUUGUGUGAAUAAUGCAGAGUAAUGACGGUACCAAAGGAGGAAGCCACGGCUAACUACGUGCCAGCCGCCGCCGUAA